CAAAAGAAGAGUUUGAUCCUGGCUCAGAAGGAACGCUAGCUAUAUGCUUAACACAUGCAAGUCGAACGUUGUUUUCGGGGAGCUGGGCAAAGAGGCUCCUAGCGAAAGCUUGUCUCGCCCAGGAGGUGGGAACAGUUGAGAACAAAGUGGCGAACGGGUGC
rnacentral:rRNA from 1 species